UGGGGAAUAUUGGCCAAUGGGGGCAACCCUGAUCCAGCAAUGCCGCGUGUGUGAAGAAGGCCUGCGGGUUGUAAAGCACUUUCAGUAGAGAAGAAAAGCCUAGGGUUAAUACCCCGGGGUCUUGAGGUAACGUACAGAAGAAGCUCCGGCUAAUUCCGUGCCAGCAGCCGCGGUAAUACGGAGGGACCGAGCGUUAUUGGGAAUUCUUGGGGGUAAAGCGCGGGUAGGCGCCUUUGUAAUUCGGAUGUGAAAGCCUCGGGUUCACCCUGGGAAUUCCUCUGGAUAGUCCGGAGCUAGAGUAUGGUAGAGGGAAGUGGAAUUUCCGGUGUAGCGGUGAAAUGGGUAGAUAUCGGAAGGACCCCCAGUGGGGAAGGGGACUUCCUGGGCCAAUACUGACGUUGAGGUGGGAAAGCGUGGGGAGCAACCAGGAUUAGAUACCUGGGUAGUCCACGCGGUAAACGAUGAGAACUAGAUGUUGGGGGAAAUCUCCUUCAGUGUCGCAGCUAACGCGUUAAGUUCUCCGCCUGGGGAGUACGCCGGCAACAGUA
rnacentral:rRNA from 1 species